CAUAGGUUAAUGAGGCGAACCGGGGGAACUGAAACAUCUAAGUACCCCGAGGAAAAGAAAUCAACCGAGAUUCCCCCAGUAGCGGCGAGCGAACGGGGAGGAGCCCAGAGCCUGAAUCAGUGUGUGUGUUAGUGGAAGCGUCUGGAAAGGCGCGCGAUACAGGGUGACAGCCCCGUACACAAAAAUGCACAUACUGUGAGCUCGAUGAGUAGGGCGGGACACGUGGUAUCCUGUCUGAAUAUGGGGGGACCAUCCUCCAAGGCUAAAUACUCCUGACUGACCGAUAGUGAACCAGUACCGUGAGGGAAAGGCGAAAAGAACCCCGGCGAGGGGAGUGAAAAAGAACCUGAAACCGUGUACGUACAAGCAGUGGGAGCCUCUUUAUGGGGUGACUGCGUACCUUUUGUAUAAUGGGUCAGCGACUUAUAUUCUGUAGCAAGGUUAACCGAAUAGGGGAGCCGAAGGGAAACCGAGUCUUAACUGGGCGUUAAGUUGCAGGGUAUAGACCCGAAACCCGGUGAUCUAGCCAUGGGCAGGUUGAAGGUUGGGUAACACUAACUGGAGGACCGAACCGACUAAUGUUGAAAAAUUAGCGGAUGACUUGUGGCUGGGGGUGAAAGGCCAAUCAAACCGGGAGAUAGCUGGUUCUCCCCGAAAGCUAUUUAGGUAGCGCCUCGUGAAUUCAUCUCCGGGGGUAGAGCACUGUUUCGGCAAGGGGGUCAUCCCGACUUACCAACCCGAUGCAAACU
rnacentral:rRNA from 1 species